rnacentral:rRNA from 1 species
AUUGAACGCUGGCGGCAGGCCUAACACAUGCAAGUCGAGCGGAUGAAGGGAGCUUGCUCCUGGAUUCAGCGGCGGACGGGUGAGUAAUGCCUAGGAAUCUGCCUGGUAGUGGGGGAUAACGUCCGGAAACGGGCGCUAAUACCGCAUACGUCCUGAGGUAGAAAGUGGGGGAUCUUCGGACCUCACGCUAUCAGAUGAGCCUAGGUCGGAUUAGCUAGUUGGUCGGGUAAAGGCCUACCAAGGCGACGAUCCGUAACUGGCCUGAGAGGAUGAUCAGUCACACUGGAACUGAGACACGGUCCAGACUCCUACGGGAGGCAGCAGUGGGGAAUAUUGGACAAAGGGCGAAAGCCUGAUCCAGCCAUGCCGCGUGUGUGAAGAAGGUCUUCGGAUUGUAAAGCACUUUAAGUUGGGAGGAAGGGCAGUAAGUUAAUACCUUGCUGUUUUGACGUUACCAACAGAAUAAGCACCGGCUAACUUCGUG